CAAAAAUAUAAAGACAUUUCCUGGUUAAUUUUGGAUUCUCUUUUACUCUUAAAUAUUUUGUCUUCUCUUUUACAUUGUUCUUCUUAAUGCUUAUUUCCUGUAACUAAGAAAGCAGUUGACAUAAUAAGCUUUACCUUUUAAAUUUAAAGGUUGUACUUAUGAAAUUAGAUGAAGUUCACUUUGCUAGUUUAAGUAGUACGUAGAUACUGAUUUUAAAUUUGAUCAGCCAAUUCGAAAGUCAUUUAGAAAAAUUUGCUAAUAUUUUUGGUUUUCUUUGUUAGAAUUGUUUUUUCUUUGCACAUUUGUGCUGUAAAAUCAGGAACAGAUUUGUAUCAGAUAGAUGAACUUAUGUUUGGUCUUCAUGAUAAUUACAUCUUUGUUUUACUCAACAUUUAUUAUUAAGAGAACACAAAAGCCUGGAGUGGUGGUAUGUACUUGUAGUCCCAGCACUUGGAAGGCUGAGGCAGGAAGAUGUCUUGUGCCAAGGGCUUUGAGACCACCCCGGGCAGCAUAGCAAGGCUCCAUCUGAAAAACAAAAAGGAAAAUAAGAAACUUCAUCCUGUAUCAAACUAGCAUCUUUAGCUUGACUAAGAGCUGAUUUUCAUUAAGGAAUAGAACUUGUAAUUCAUUUCCACAUUCUUUAAGAUAUGACUCACUCACUUUAAAGUUGUGAGACCUAAACCUAUACCCUGGUCACUUAAUUUUAUGUCCUUCCCUGUUUACUGUGUCUGAUCUUCAAGAUUUCGUGACUGACGCUGAAAUGGAAGCCAACUGAUGCUGAAAUUUGGGGGAAAAUUACAUCUGAAGAAUGCAAGAGAAAGUAGGAAUUCAUUUCUAGCAUUCCCAAACCUGCCUUGUAUUGUCUACUGUACUAUAGUCAGAGGACAACAACUGAGUUCAUGGAAUUUGCCAGCUAAGCCUUACAACUGUCUUAAAUGUUCUUAGGAAAUACACUGAAAAGCUCCAAGACAGUUUGCAUGCUGACCUUUCCUCUUACCCCAGGCCCCAAGUGUAAAGGACUGGAACAGAAGAGCAGAGCUUGGCAGUUACAUUUUAUAUUUAGGAUCUUGUCUCUCAGAUCCACCCCUUUUAUUUUUGGAAUGUGAGCAUUUUCUUUAGCUGCUAAAUCAUGAGAAAAUACAGCUGCUGAGAUUUUUCCUAGGAUUAAAAAAAAGAUUAGGCAUUGUUGAAGUGAAGAAAAAUUGCUCUGAGAACCACAGGUAGGUAAUUUGCCCCCUGUUGUAUGGAAAGCCCCUGCACCUCUGUCCAUUGUUUUAUACUUCUGUAAAUCUGAUUUUAACUUUAAUAAAGUGGUUUCUGAAGUGAGUGGGUUUUAUUUUGUCUCAUUUCCCAUUAGAUUCUGUAUCUCUUUUCACCUUAUGUAUAUUAUUGCUGUCCCCUUCAAAACUAAUGGUAUGAUUAAAAUGAAAGUACCUCCCAUAUACCUAGUACUGAUUAGCUUUAAAAAUACAUAUACAAAAAUACAUAUACAAGACUUUGUCUUAGCUCAGUGUGGGUUCUAUCCAAUAAUAAAACUCUAGAUUUUUGAACAAAAAGUCAGAAGUUGUAAAAUUACUGUGAACAGUGUUUCAUUGUGUAUCUCAAGCAAUUGUGACAAAAAGAAAUCUGCCCAAGUGAAAUCAAGUUAACUUUCUGUGAGUAAUGAAGUUAACUGCAGGAACAGUAUUGACCAUCUCUCUCUCAGAUUACUGAUUUUCAAACUUCAAUGUUAUGUGAAUAACCUGAGGUUUUGUUAAAAUGAAGAUUUUUAAAUCAGGGAAGUAGGUCUGGGGUAAAAAAAAGUUUUGUUGAAAUAUAAUUAAAAUAACAAAAUUCACUCUUUAAAAGUGUACAGUGGUUUUCAACAUGGAGAGUUUUACAACUAUUGCUACUUUUUAAUUUCUUCACAUCAAAAUAAAACCCUAUAAUUAUCUAUUCUCUCUCUCUUUUUUUUUUUUUUUUUUUUUUUUGGUUCCAGGGAUUGAACUCAGGACCUUGCACUUGUGAGGCAGGCUGCUGCCACUGAGCUAAAUCCCCAGCCCUUUAUCUCUCUAUUCUCUUGCCCACCCUCUUCUUCCCACAGCCUCAGGCAACCAUUAAUCUAUUUUCAUUCUUUUCAGUUUACCUAUUCUGGACAUUUCAUAUACAUGCAUUCACACAUUAUGUGAACUUCUAGAACUGGCUUCUUAUUUAAUAUAUUUUUAGAGUUUAUGUUGUAGCUUUUAUCAGUACUUCAUUAUUUUUCAUGGCC
ensembl:lncRNA